GCUGCCAUUGCACAUGCGCACGCCGCAGCAACUUCUGGCUAGAGGAAGCACCGGGGCAGCAAGGAGGUAUGCUACAGCCCCACCAGACCGUUUUAAAAGGCAGCACCGGCGGGGGAAAUGCGGCAGGAGGGGUAAGAGCACCCUCCCCCAUCCUUAAAGAGACACACACCCCCUCAAACCGGCCAAACUGCCGGUCUUUUGAGUUGGUUCCGUGCACAUCCCUAAUGCAUCCCAGCCCAAGAUGGCAGCUACAGAGAAAGUUGGAACAGCUGCACCUCUGCUGGAAAUGGUGUCUUGAGCCAAGUUCUGCUAUGUGUGAACCUCAGACAGCUUUCAGAGAGACAGGCACUAUGGAAGAUGGUACCUGUGCAUCUGUGUAUCUCUGACUUCCAGACACCUUGCUUAUGAACUUUCCAAAGGCACCAGUCUAACCAUGUUGGAAGAGAAUUCGGGACAAGAGGGACCUUUGAUCUGCUCCAGCAGGAUUGUCACUGACUUAAAAAUCUGUCCAAGAUUCCUAAAGAAACCUCAAUAAAUAUUCAUGUCACUC